GACGAACGCUGGCGGCGUGCCUAAUACAUGCAAGUCGAGCGCAGGAAAUCAUCCGAACCCUUCGGGGGGACGUUGAUGGAAUGAGCGGCGGACGGGUGAGUAACACGUAAAGAACCUGCCCUCAGGUCUGGGAUAACCACGAGAAAUCGGGGCUAAUACCGGAUGGGUCAUCGGACCGCAUGGUCCGAGGAUGAAAGGCGCUUCGGCGUCGCCUGGGGAUGGCUUUGCGGUGCAUUAGCUAGUUGGUGGGGUAAUGGCCCACCAAGGCGACGAUGCAUAGCCGACCUGAGAGGGUGAUCGGCCACACUGGGACUGAGACACGGCCCAGACUCCUACGGGAGGCAGCAGUAGGGAAUCUUCCACAAUGGACGAAAGUCUGAUGGAGCAACGUCGCGUGAACGAUGAAGGCCUUCGGGUCGUAAAGUUCUGUUGUAAGGGAAGAACAAGUGCCGCAGGCAAUGGCGGCACCUUGACGGUACCUUGCGAGAAAGCCACGGCUAACUACGUGCCAGCCGCCGCGGUAAGAC
rnacentral:rRNA from 1 species